rnacentral:tRNA from 1 species
GGGCUCGUAGCGCAGAGGCAGGCGCACCCUGACUGCGAAUCAGGACUCACGCCGGUUCGAAUCCGGCCGGCCCCA